CAGUCGCCGCGGGAAUACGAAGGGUGCAAGCGUUAAUCGGAAUUACUGGGCGUAAAGCGUGCGUAGGCGGUGAGUUAAGUCUGCUGUGAAAUCCCCGGGCUCAACCUGGGAAUGGCAGUGGAUACUGGCUCGCUAGAGUGUGUCAGAGGAUGGUGGAAUUCCCGGUGUAGCGGUGAAAUGCGUAGAGAUCGGGAGGAACAUCAGUGGCGAAGGCGGCCAUCUGGGACAACACUGACGCUGAGGCACGAAAGCGUGGGGAGCAAACAGGAUUAGAUACCCCGUAGUCCCUGUCUCUUAUACC
rnacentral:rRNA from 1 species